UAUUUUAUAUUAGUAUAGUAUUUUAUUAUAUAAAUAUUUUACAUGAAAGUUAAUAAGAGUAUUUAAUUAAAAUUUAAUAUUUUAAUUAAAAAUUUAUUUUCAGUAAAUAAAUUUAAAAAAUAAGGAAAUUUAGAUUUAGUAAUUUAAAAAAAUUUUAGUUAAAUUUGUGCCAGCAACUGCGGUUAGACAAGGAAAGUAAAUAAAAGAAUUUUAUUAAUAAUUAAUAGAAAAUUUUUUAAAUAAAUAAUUGAAUUUAUUAGGUGAAAUUUUAAAUUUAAAAGAUAUUAAAUUUUUAAUUAUUAAUUUAAUAAAAUUUUUAAAUAAACUAGGAUUAGAUACCCUAUUAUUAAAAAAAUAAAUUUUUAUAAUAGAAUAUUAAUAGUGAUAUUCUUUACACUUAAAAAAUUUGGCGGUAUUUUAUUUUUUUCAGAGGAACUUGUUCCGUAAUCGUUGAUCCUCGUUAAAGUGUGCUUAAUUUAAUUUAAUUUACAUACCGCUGUUAUUGAAUAUGUUUAAAAAUUUAAUUUUUAAUAAAUAAAAUAUAAAUUUAGUAUCAAGUCAUGGUAUAGUUUAUAAUUAAGUGGAAAUGAGUUACAAUAAAAAUUAGUUAAGCGGAUAAAUUAAUUUGAUUUAGUUUUGAAGUUGGAUUUGAGAGUAAAAUAAUUUAUUAAUUUUAAUUGACAAUAAUCUUAAAAUAUGCACAUAUUGCCCGUCACUCUCAUUAUAAAAUGAGAUAAGUCGUAACAAAGUAAAAAUAUUGGAAAAUGUUUUUAGAUUU
rnacentral:ncRNA from 1 species